rnacentral:misc_RNA from 1 species
GGUGGUGGUGGUGGUGGUGGUGAUCUAGAAAUGGACCUACCGGGAGUAGGUGUAGUGUUGGUUGCACCUGUGGCAGCAAUUGGAAGUGGAGCCGAGGCUGAAGCUGGAUCUGGGAUUAGGUCAGAAUCUCUAGUGGGUUUGGGAGUUUGAUGUUGUCGAUUCAGUGGAAGAGGAUGGUGUUCAAGGGUUUGAGUUGUAGCAGUUUGAUGACGAUGAUCUCUCUUUCUUUCUCCGAAGGUUGAAAUUAUGGAAGCAGAAGGAACUUUAUAGGAGGAAUCUCUAUUAGGUGGAUUGUAACCCAGAGAGCUUGGCAUCCCUAUUUCCUUAUCUUGGCCUCUCAGUUCCAUCGAACUGAACUGAUCUGCAAUAUAAAAGCUUCGAAUCCAAGUCUUGAUCUCAGGUACCCUCCACUUCUCAAAGCAAUAUCAUCAUCUUCCUGAUUAUUUAUUGGAAAACCAUGGCAUCUUCUUGUGAUCCUUUCAACCCUAGUUUAGCCCAU